rnacentral:misc_RNA from 1 species
AGCUCUUGAGCAGUACUUGCCGGUACUGUUGGGAUUCGCUGAGGAUGGCAGCCUGAGGGAUAGGGUGCAGUUCAAGUGGGCUAACCAAGAAGAUGAUGCUGAGGAAACAACAAUGUCGAAUGCUUGGUACGAGGUACUAUCGGUUCUUCACUUGAUGGCUGUGCUUUGUUUGUCAGAGGCCAAUUUGUUGCUCCUUCCUGAAGCAUCUAGUGAUGUGAACAAGCAAAGGGUAUCUGAAGAGAGAAAG